rnacentral:rRNA from 1 species
ACGGAAUAGAUACCCGGGUAGUCCACGCCCUAAACGAUGUCUACUAGUUGUCGGGUCUUAAUUGACUUGGUAAACGCAGCUAAACGCGUGAAAGUAGACCGCCUGGGGAGUACGGUCGCAAGAUUAAAACUCAAAGGAAUUGACGGGGACCCGCACAAGCGGUGGAUGAUGUGGAUUAAUUCGAUGCAACGCGAAAAACCUUACCUACCCUUGACAUGGAUGGAAUCCCUGAGAGAUUGGGGAGUGCUCGAAAGAGAACCAUUACACAGGUGCUGCAUGGCUGUCGUCAGCUCGUGUCGUGAGAUGUUGGGUUAAGUCCCGCAACGAGCGCAACCCUUGUCAUUAGUUGCUACGAAAGGGCACUCUAAUGAGACUGCCGGUGACAAACCGGAGGAAGGUGGGGAUGACGUCAAGUCCUCAUGGCCCUUAUGGGUAGGGCUUCACACGUCAUACAAUGGUACAUACAGAGGGCCGCCAACCCGCGAGGGGAGCUAAUCCCAGAAAGUGUAUCGUAGUCCGGAUUGUAGUCUGCAACUCG